GCACAUGCGGCGGCUUACACAUGCAAGUCGAGGGGUAUAUGUUCUUCGGAACUAGAGACCGGCGCACGGGUGCGUAACGCGUAUGCAAUCUACCUUUCACAGAGGGAUAGCCCAGAGAAAUUUGGAUUAAUACCUCAUAGUAUUAUAGAAUGGCAUCAUUUUAUAAUUAAAGUCACAACGGUGAAAGAUGAGCAUGCGUCCCAUUAGUUAGUUGGUAAGGUAACGGCUUACCAAGACUACGAUGGGUAGGGGUCCUGAGAGGGAGAUCCCCCACACUGGUACUGAGACACGGACCAGACUCCUACGGGAGGCAGCAGUGAGGAAUAUUGGUCAAUGGGCGCAAGCCUGAACCAGCCAUGCCGCGUGCAGGAUGAAGCAUCUAUGGUGUGUAAACUGCUUUUAUACGAGAAGAAACAACUCUACGUGUAGAGUCUUGACGGUAUCGUAAGAAUAAGGACCGGCUAACUCCGUGCCAGCAGCCGCGGUAAUACGGAGGGUCCAAGCGUUAUCCGGAAUCAUUGGGUUUAAAGGGUCCGUAGGCGGUCAGAUAAGUCAGUGGUGAAAGCCCAUCGCUCAACGGUGGAACGGCCAUUGAUACUGUCUGACUUGAAUUAUUAGGAAGUAACUAGAAUAUGUAGUGUAGCGGUGAAAUGCUUAGAGAUUACAUGGAAUACCAAUUGCGAAGGCAGGUUACUACUAAUUUGAUUGACGCUGAUGGACGAAAGCGUGGGUAGCGAACAGGAUUAGAUACCCUGGUAGUCCACGCCGUAAACGAUGGAUACUAGCUGUUGGGAGCAAUCUCAGUGGCUAAGCGAAAGUGAUAAGUAUCCCACCUGGGGAGUACGAACGCAAGUUUGAGACUCAAAGGAAUUGACGGGGGCGCGCACAAGCGGUGGAGCAUGUGGUGUAAUUCAUGAUACGCGAGGAGCCUUACCAAGGCUUAAAUGGUAGAUUGGACGGGUGUGGAAGCAGACUUUUCGCAGACAUUUACACGUGCUGCAUGGGUGGUCGUCAGCUCGUGCCGUGAGUUGUCAGAUGAGGUCUAUAACAACGCAACCCCUCGUUGUUAGUUGCAGCGAGUCAGUGUCGGUAACUCUACCAAACUGCCAAUGUAACUUGUAGAAGUGGGAUGACGUCAAAUCGAUCACGUCCUACGCUGGGCUACACACCUCUCAUGAACGUACAAAGCAGCACGUGGCACAGUCAUUACAACCAGGUCGAUCGAAUCGACUUGCACUUCGAGUCGCAAUGAAACUUGUGA
rnacentral:rRNA from 1 species